rnacentral:rRNA from 1 species
UACAGAGGUCUCAAGCGUUGUUCGGAUUCAUUGGGCGUAAAGGGUGCGUAGGUGGCGCUGUAAGUCGGGUGUGAAAUUUCGGAGCUUAACUCCGAAACUGCAUUCGAUACUGCGGUGCUUGAGGACUGGAGAGGAGACUGGAAUUCAUGGUGUAGCAGUGAAAUGCGUAGAGAUCGUAAGGAAGACCAGUGGCGAAGGCGGGUCUCUGGACAGUUCCUGACACUGAGGCACGAAGGCCAGGGGAGCAAACGGG